ACCGUUGUUGGCUUGUACGUUUCGUGCGUCUGGCCUCAACGAGUAGGUGUGUCGCGGUGGUUAGCGUCGAAGGCUUAGGGCGUAGGCCCAGCUGGAGCUUCCAUCGGUGCAGAUCUUGGUGGCAGUAGCAAAUAAUCAAGUGAGAAUCUUGAUGACUGAAGUGGAGAAGGGUUCCACGUGAACAGUAGUUGAAUGUGGGUGAGUCGAUCCUAAGAUACUGGCUAAUGCCUUGUAUCAUUGACGUCGAGCCUCGUGCUUCUCGUCUAAUGUCGAAAGGGAAACGGGUUAAUAUUCCCGUACCUGUAAUUGUGAAUUUGUAGACGCAAGUCUGCAUUGGCGGUAACGCAUUCGAACUUGGCGAUGCUAAGUGUGAUCCGGGCUAGAGAUCUCUUCUCUAGUUAAGGAACGGACUCCCUGGAAACGGUUCAGCCGGAGAUAGGGACGUUGUUUCCGUAUAGCGCCACGGUUUCUGUGGUGUCCCGUGUAUCGCGCUUGGCCCUUGAAAAGCCAAGGGAGCAAUUCAAUUCACAAUACUGAUCGUACCCAUAUCCGCAGCAGGUCUCCAAGGUUCGUAGCCUCUAGUCGAUAGAAUAAUGUAGAUAAGGGAAGUCGGCAAAUUAGAUCCCUACCUUCGGAAUAAGGAUUGGCUCUAAGGACCGGUCUGUACGGGCUUUGCAAUGAAGCUUGGUCGACGGCGCUUUGAUUGGGUUGGCUCUCGGGUCGGCUUGAUCUAAUGGCGUCGUUGCCUUGUGGACUUGCCUAGCUGCGUGCAUGCGUUUCGGCGUAUGUACUUCGUGCGACACUUAACGGUUGACUUAGAACUGGUACGGACUCGGGGAAUCCGACUGUCUAAUUAAAACAGAGGAGAUAGAUGGUCCUUGCGGACGUUGACUAUCUCUGAUUUCUGCCCAGUGCUCUGAAUGUUAACGUGGAGUAAUCUGCUUAAGCGCGGGUAAACGGCGGGAGUAACUAUGACUCUCUUAAGGUAGCCAAAUGCCUCGUCAUCUAAUUAGUGACGCGCAUGAAUGGAUUAACGAGAUUCCCACUGUCCCUAUCUACUAUCUAGCGAAACCACAGCCAAGGGAACGGGCUUGGAAAAAACAGCGGGGAAAGAAGACCCUGUUGAGUUUGACUCUAGUUUGACUCUGUGACGAGUCUUGAGAGACGUAGUAUAAGUGGGAGACUUCGGUCGCAAUUGAAAUACCACUACUUUCAUCGAUUCUUUACUUAUUCGGUAAUGCGAGGAUUGGAGCUCGUUCUCCUUCCUUCUGGUGUUAAGCAUCGGCUCUCGGAGCCUUUGCGACUCGGACCGAAGACAGUGUCAGGCCGGGAGUUUGACUGGGGC
rnacentral:rRNA from 1 species